rnacentral:rRNA from 1 species
GUAGGGAAUAUUGGGCAAUGGAGGCAACUCUGACCCAGCCAUGCCGCGUGCAGGAUGACGGCCCUCUGGGUUGUAAACUGCUUUUAUACGGGAAGAAAAAAUACUACGUGUAGUAUACUGACGGUACCGUAAGAAUAAGGAUCGGCUAACUCCGUGCCAGCAGCCGCGGUAAUACGGAGGAUCCAAGCGUUGUCCGGAUUUAUUGGGUUUAAAGGGUGCGUAGGCGGAUCUUUAAGUCAGUGGUGAAAGCCUGCAGCUUAACUGUAGAAUUGCCAUUGAAACUGAAGAUAUUGAAUGUGAUUAAAGUAGGCGGAAUGUAUCAUGUAGCGGUGAAAUGCUUAGAUAUGAUACAGAACACCGAUAGCGAAGGAAGCUUGCUGAACCAUUAUUGACGCUGAGGCACGAAAGCGUGGGGAGCGAACAGGAUUAGAAACCCUAGUAGUCC